UCCUAAGGUGAACUCUGGUGAAAAGAAGC
rnacentral:piRNA from 1 species